AUUGAACGCUGGCGGCAUGCCUUACACAUGCAAGUCGAACGGCAGCGCGGGUGCUUGCACCUAGCGGCGAGUGGCGAACGGGUGAGUAAUAUAUCGGAACGUGCCCUAGAGUGGGGGAUAACGUAGCGAAAGUUACGCUAAUACCGCAUACGAUCUACGGAUGAAAGUGGGGGAUCGCAAGACCUCAUGCUCCCGGAGCGGCCGAUAUCUGAUUAGCUAGUUGGUGGGGUAAAGGCCCACCAAGGCGACGAUCAGUAGCUGGUCUGAGAGGACGACCAGCCACACUGGGACUGAGACACGGCCCAGACUCCUACGGGAGGCAGCAGUGGGGAAUUUUGGACAAUGGGGGCAACCCUGAUCCAGCAAUGCCGCGUGAGUGAAGAAGGCCUUCGGGUUGUAAAGCUCUUUUGUCAGGGAAGAAACGGUCUGGGUUAAUACCCUGGGCUAAUGACGGUACCUGAAGAAUAAGCACCGGCUAACUACGUGCCAGCAGCCGCAGUAAGAC
rnacentral:rRNA from 1 species